rnacentral:rRNA from 1 species
UACAGAGGGUGCGAGCGUUUAAUCGGAAUUACUGGGCGUAAAGCGCACGUAGGUGGCGACGUAAGUCGGGUGUGAAAGCCCCGGGCUCAACCUGGGAAUUGCAUUCGAGACUGCAUUGCUGGAGUACGGAAGAGGAGGGCGGAAUUCCCGGUGGAGCGGUGAAAUGCGUUGAUAUCGACCGGAACUCCGGUGGCGAAGGCGAGGUGCUGGGUCCUUUCUGACGCUGAUGCGCGAAAGCGUGGGGAGCAAACAGGG